UUGAUUUUUUAAUACUAUAUUUAGUUGGCAAUGGUGUGAUUAUGGUGAAUAUAGUGUUAUGGGACUGCAAGUUUCUGCUUUAAGUUUUAGUUUGCCCCAGGGGCGGUUCUAGACCCUUUUAAGUGGGGCUCCAGCCACCCUGCCGUUAUCUUAGCCCCCCUAAAAUUAGUCUUAAUAUUUCUACCAAACUAUCAAAUAUAUUUUUCUGAAGUUUUAUUUAUUUGUAAAAACAAUUUAUUCGAAGAUAAUUAUUAAAAAAAACGCAAAAUGCAGGACAUUUAGAAAAAGUAUUACGAGUUUAUGAGGCAUUUGAUUAGCUUUGCUGUUCUGCGCAUGCGUCGUAACCGUCAGUGGAGGAGCGCUCGAGCGCCUGUGCUUCAGGUCACACAGAGGGAGCAAUUGUUUCAUAAAAUAUCCAGCGUGGAAGCUCAGAAGAUGGAUAUAUAACGUUUUUCAAAUGCUGGAAAGGAGAGCAAACAGGUGGAGAAAGAGUUAGAGAGACUGAAGAGGUCAGAGACAGGUGCAUUUAUAGUCCAUCAUGACAUAAAAAAUCCUCUGCAUGCAACCACGAGGAGAGGGGGAAUUUACUAAGGAGUUUUGUCUAUAUAUUAUAUAAAAUCUACUGUUGGGAAGAGCAGAACCUAAUCCAAAUAAAAAUAAACAAGCUGUUAAAAGCCAGUUGAAGGUGGUCAACACAAACCAAAUGAAGAUGUUGCACAUUCCACAAACAAUAAAAAAGAAGUUUUGUGUCCAACACACUUGGAUGAGACGUGCCCGACCCCUGACUU